CCUACGUGAGUCAGCAGUGGGGAAUAUUGGUCAAUGGGCGCAAGCCUGACCCAGCGACGCCGCGUGAGGGAAGACGGUCUUCUGAUUUUCAACCUCUUUCAGCAGGGAAGACAAAAGGACGGUACCUGCAGAAGAAGCCACGGCUAACUACGUGCCAUCAGCCGCGGUAAUACGUCGGUGGCAAGCGUUAUCCUGAAUUACUGGGUGUAAAGGGUUGGUAGGCGGGUUUGCAAGUCAGAUGUGAAAAUUAUGGGCUCAACCCAUAACCUGCGUCUGAAAAUACAGAUCUUGAGAGUGGGAGAGGUAAACGGAAUGCCCGGUGGAGCGGUGAAAUGCGUAGAGAUCGGGAGGAACACCAGUGGCGAAGGCGGUUUACUGGACCACAACUGACGCUGAGACACGAAAGCGUGGGGAGCAAACAGGAUUAGAUACCCUUGUAGUC
rnacentral:rRNA from 1 species